GCCCGCGCACCAGCUGAUCGAGGUCAUCAGCAGCGGCACCGAGCCAAGCGGCACUUUCAGCGGUGCCGAUGACAGUGACAAUAGCAUAGUUUCUUCAACUCCUACCCAUUAUGUUCCUAGGCGGAAUGGAAGAUAGCGGGAAUGGACCGCGUGGGCGAGGCAUGCGGGGCCGGGGACGCCCCUCGCGCCGCUCACACAACUAUACGCGAUUCGAUUAUCUUGAGACUGAUUUUUUUGUUUGUUAAGUUGAGAAUAUAGUUAAGUUGAUUUAAAAAAAAAUAGUUUUAUAACUAUACGCGAUUCUAAGAUUAUCAUGAUAAGCUGAGUUAAAUUUAUUGAGUUAUAUUGUUAAGUUGAGAAUAUAGUUAAGUUGAUUUAAAAAAAAAUAGUUUUAUAACUAUACGCGAUUCUAAGAUUAUCAUGAGACUGAGUUAAAUUUAUUGAGUUAUAUUGUUAAGUUGAGAAUAUAGUUAAGUUGAUUUAAAAAAAAAUAGUUUUAUAACUAUACGCGAUUCUAAGAUUAUCAUGAGACUGAGUUAAAUUUAUUGAGUUAUAUUGUUAAGUUGAGAAUAUAGUUAAGUUGAUUUAAAAAAAAAUAGUUUUAUAACUAUACGCGAUUCUAAGAUUAUCAUGAGACUGAGUUAAAUUUAUUGAGUUAUAUUGUUAAGUUGAGAAUAUAGUUAAGUUGAUUUAAAAAAAUAGUUUUAUAACUAUACGCGAUUCUAAGAUUAUCAUGAGACUGAGUUAAAUUUAUUGAGUUAUAUUGUUAAGUUGAGAAUAUAGUUAAGUUGAUUUAAAAAAAAUAGUUUUAUAACUAUACGCGAUUCUAAGAUUAUCAUGAGACUGAGUUAAAUUUAUUGAGUUAUAUUGUUAAGUUGAGAAUAUAGUUAAGUUGAUUUAAAAAAAAAUAGUUUUAUAACUAUACGCGAUUCUAAGAUUAUCAUGAGACUGAGUUAAAUUUAUUGAGUUAUAUUGUUAAGUUGAGAAUAUACUUAAGAUGAUUAAAAAAAAAUAGAUUUAUAACUAUACGCGAUUCUAAGAUUAUCAUGAGACUGAGUUAAAUUUAUUGAAAAUAGUUUUAUAACUAUACGCGAUUCUAAGAUUAUCAUGAGACUGAGUUAAAUUUAUUGAGUUAUAUUGUUAAGUUGAGAAUAUAGUUAAGUUGAUUUAAAAAAAAUAGUUUUAUAACUAUACGCGAUUCUAAGAUUAUCAUGAGACUGAGUUAAAUUUAUUGAGUUAUAUUGUUAAGUUGAGAAUAUAGUUAACUUGAUUUAAAAAAAAAUAGUUUUAUAACUAUACGCGAUUCUAAGAUUAUCAUGAGACUGAGUUAAAUUUAUUGAGUUAUAUUGUUAAGUUGAGAAUAUAGUUAAGUUGAUUUAAAAAAAAAUAGUUUUAUAACUAUACGCGAUUCUAAGAUUAUCACGAGACUGAGUUAAAUUUAUUGAGUUAUAUUGUUAAGUUGAGAAUAUAGUUAAGUUGAUUUAAAAAAAAAUAGUUUUAUAACUAUACGCGAUUCUAAGAUUAUCACGAGACUGAGUUAAAUUUAUUGAGUUAUAUUGUUAAGUUGAGAAUAUAGUUAAGUUGAUUAAAAAAAAUAGAUUUAUAACUAUACGCGAUUCUAAGAUUAUCAUGAGACUGAGUUAAAUUUAUUGAGUUAUAUUGUUAAGUUGAGAAUAUAGUUAAGUUGAUUUAAAAAAAAUAGUUUUAUAACUAUACGCGAUUCUAAGAUUAUCAUGAGACUGAGUUAAAUUUAUUGAGUUAUAUUGUUAAGUUGAGAAUAUAGUUAAGUUGAUU